rnacentral:rRNA from 1 species
UACGUAGGGGGCUAGCGUUGUCCGGAUUUAUUGGGCGUAAAGAGCGCGUAGGCGGCCGAGUAAGUCCGACGUGAAAUCUGGAGGCUCAACCUCCAGCGGUCGUUGGAAACUACUCGGCUAGAGUCCGGAAGAGGAGAGUGGAAUUCCUGGUGUAGCGGUGAAAUGCGCAGAUAUCAGGAAGAACACCGAUGGCGAAAGCAGCUCUCUGGGCAUUAACUGACGCUGAGGAGCGAAAGCAUGGGGAGCGAACAGG